GGUGUCUUGCUGAGACGGGGAAUACGGUCCUCCGCAAAAGGCGCGAACGCGAAGCACCAUCACACCAAAGAUGUGAAGAAAUACAUUUCCAUCGAAAAUGUCGCAGUCGGAGAACAUAUGCCAGCCUCUGAACCUUGUAGGAAUCCCUCCUCCUCCAAACCAUCAGAAUAAAUAUGUUUUAGUUAAUACCAGUCCAAGAGUGAAUGUGAUAAGGAGACCGUUCU